UGACCUGCAGCUUUUAACUUUCGAUUUCUCCGGAGCAGAAGACUUUGUGGCGCAGCGGAGAUAAACCUGAUUCGUGCAGACGUCAUGCUGUCCCUCUGUUUCAAGAACGAACCUCCAAAGGUUUUCAGAAAGGGCAAACCCAUCGAUGAUGAAAUGAACAAUGAAACAGAGCGUCCGGACUUCUGAAGAUGGAAAUGAAGCUCAUCUCCAUGGAAACAGUCCAAAAAGUGUUAAAGUGUUGUUUCAGAUGUUUGGAUCGCUCUAUUUUACUCCCGUUCUACUAAAAUGUGACAAAAUGAAAUAAAAAUGACACAAACUG